CCCGCCCCACCCCAUCCGCCCCUUCCCUUUGCAGAGUGUGAUUGUUUUGUCUGGAAAAAAAAAUCCAAAGUAUAUAACAAGGGGAGAACAGUUAGUGCUGAUUUUCAUUUGCAUACAUUUUCAUAUAUUUUGGUGAAAAUAAUAGACUAGUGCGAGCUGGGCUUAGAGGACUCAGUGUAAAGGGAAGGCUUAGGCUCUGACGGUGCUGGAGAGUUAAGAAUGUGCCUUCCCUCCACCCCCACCCCAGGCACCUUAUUUAAAAAAAAACAAAAAACACCUUCUUUUAUUUAAAAAAAAAAAUCUAACCUUGGAAGUUUGCUCGGGUAAAAAAAAUACAGUAUCACUUUCUGGAAGGAAAUAAAUAUCUUGAAAUGAAAGACAAUAUUUAGCGACCAAAAGAAGAGAAAUCCCUCAAGAGUACUACUUUUCUGAUGACUCAGAACUGGAAGUGAUUAAGGGCUCAGUGCAUUACAACAACGGGCACCCCCAUCCAUCCGUCCCUCCAUUUCAGAAGAAAAUCAAACAUCGUUUUGGAGGGCCAUAUCAGUUUCAAAGAUUGCCAUCAGGGUGGGAGCAAAUGAAGUUGAAAUGGCCUGAUCGUUCACUGCGGCCUCAGAGCGGAAACUUUUCCUCUGAGUUGAAAGCUGGUGGAAUAUUCAUGGAAAUGUAAUCCGAGCACGGGGUACCAAGUCAGUGUCAAAACUGUGUUCCAAAUCAUAUUUGCUGUUUGUAAAGCGGCUCCUUGGGGAGCAGCUAAAGGAAGGGAGAGGGUGGAGGACUUGGGCUUCCUGGAGCCUUGACCCAGGUCUGAGGGUUGGGCUUCCUUCUUCCUUCUGGGGACUUUUCUUAGGGUUUAGGGUGGUGGGGUUCAGUCCUUCUGGCUCUGCAAGGACCAUUACUGGCUCAGAUGCGGAAGCUAGUUCUUGCUCUUUGUUUAUUUUUUUUGAGACAGGGUCUUGUUAUGUAAUUCAGGCUGCACUGAACUCACUCUGCAGCCCAUGCUGGCCUUGAACUUGUGGUGAUCCUCCACCCUCAGUCUCCUGAAUGCUGGGAAUCACAGGCAUGUGCCACCACACCUGGCCCCUGGCUCUUGCCCCUGUGCUGUGGCUGAAAAACAGAAACCACAGAGAAAUCCACGUGAAAGUCACUGUGCAGAGUUCUGCAUGUGCACAAGUGAUGCCCUUCACUUUUUCCUUCAAGGCCUUCUGAUCAGGGUUUUGAUUGAAGAAAAAAGAAUGUGGAGGUGCAGAUUCUGAUGGGCAUCAUAUGAAGAUGCUGGAAUUAUACCUUAAAAUGAAAAAGGGGUUCAAAACACAGAUGACCUAAAUUUCCUUCCCAGAAUGAACAAAUCUCUCUCCUUUUCCCUCAGGAAUGCUCCUCAUCUGUAGUUAAUCUUAGAAUUAACAUUUAGUAAAUUACUGCCGCAGUGCCUUCCACGAGGAAGGUGCCUGGUGGCUCCGUUGAUUAGAACCUCUGCGCUAAUGAAGCCUCCCAGCUGUGGUCCCUGCUCUGAACCUCGGCCAGGUCUCCAAGUGGACACUGGUCACAAGUGGCCUUCUGUAGAAGCAUCAGCCAAGGUUUUCAUGGUUAGGGGCAAAGCCACUCCAAGCAGAUGCCGUGAAUUAAUUUGGAAUAUGACAGCAGUCGCCAGGGGUAACCAGAGGGGACCCUCGAGGCCAGUGCCAAGCCCCAUGCUUCUCAGGGCAGCCUCCUGGGGUUGCUGGUGGGAUCUGGGGAAGCUCCAGUCCUGCCCAGGGGAGGGAGAACUUGUCCAAGUCACAGACCCUAGGGUGGCUGCAGUAGGUUUUGUGGAGCUGUUGUUGCUAGCCCUCAUCUAAUAGCUGGCUCUCUGGGGCCUUGGGAUUCUAUCUCCAGCUCCUGCAGCCACAGCAGGCCCUGUCCACCUGGGCCCUAGCCCUGACUUGGAAGGGGUGUUGUUCCCAGGCCUAGGCCUGGGCACUCGCUGGUGUCCACUGGGGCUGGUUCUUGGGCAUCUGGUGGACUCAUGCUCCAUAGGCUCCCUGCUGAAACCAGUACCCUUGACAGGCUUUGAGCAACAUCACCAUCUCCUGCCACAGGACAGGGCUGUCUUCUUGUGCUUAGAGAUGGAUAGGCUCUGGCUAUGUUCCCGAGGCUGGCUUUGAUGUCCCAGGCUCUAGUGGUUCUCCUGCCUCAGCCUCCCAGGUGGCUGGGGCUAUUGGUGUGAGCUAUGGGGGAUAAGUGGGCUGAGGAGUGGUACUUGGUGUGGGCUUGAGCACCCUAUGCGGGAGGAUGCACAGGGGGACCUCUGUGGUCAGAGGGAGAAGCACCCUGGGCUGAGACCUUGGGACUUGAGGGGGGUCACUGGAGAUAGAUAAGGUCAGGACAGCACAGGGCUGGCUGCUCAAUUAGAAAGAGAAGGCUUCAGAGACAGAGGGGGAAGCCAGAGGCUGGGUCGGGGAUGGGCUUCCUCUUGGAUGCCUGAGAUCACUGAGUGAGAGGAGAAAAAGAACAGUGCUGUUUUGCUGAAGACCAUCUGAGGGCCAGGGGGUGGCUGGGCAGGUGCUUGACCUGGUCCCCUCCCCAGUCUGCUCAAGUGGCAGGUGUGUUCAAGAGUCCGGUGACCAGGAGGCUGGGGGGAUUUAAAACAAAUUAAGAUGGGUUGUGUACACUGAGCCAGAUGUGGUGGGACAUGCCUGUGAUCCCAGCAAUCAGGAGGCUGAGGCAGGAGGAUUGCUGUGAGUUCAAGGCCACUCUGGCCUUCAUAGUGAAUUCAAGGUCAGCCUGAACUUCAUAGCAAGACCUUGUUUCAAAAAGAAAAAAAUGUUAUGUACAUGUAUUUACUCUUCACAAUGAGUGUGACCAUUAUGUACUGCAACAUGUACUCAUGAAAAUAAAAUUAAAAAGCAUGCAAAUCCUUUUAAAAGCAAGAGCAAAAAGGCGGGCUGGCAUGUUGUUCAGUGGUGUGGCACGUGCUUAGCAUGCACAAGGCUCUGGGUUCCGGGCCCAUUACAAAAGAGCCAAACAGCAUCUCCCUGCCAAAGCCCUAAUAAAAGAAAUCCAGAAAGGGAACCUGAGGUAACUGGGGACAGGUGUGGCCUCGUGGCCAGAGCACAGCUGUGCUUUGCAGUAAGAGCCACACCUGCACCAUGUGCACAGGACAGGGAGAAAAAGAACACUCACCAAGGUGGCUCUGUUUGUAUCCAGGAUGCUAGGGCAUGGGGCGCGGAUGGAGGCUCAAACCAGCCACCCUGUGUGUGUAGAGAAAGUGGUAAUCAUCUUUGGUUUCAUUCACCUUUAAAGCAUUGUUUUCUUGUUGCACCAAGUAAUGCUUUUUCUAAUUGGGAAAAGUUCCCAGGGUGGGGACUUUGCUGGACAAGCGAGCUGUUGCCCAGCUGUAGGUGUGGUGGCACCGGACAUACCUCUCCUAACUCAGUCCAUCCGCCACUGCAGUGAGGGAAGUGACCAUUUGACUGGAAUUUGCUGCUGUUUUGCACCAGGUGAGCUGUGUUUUAGGGCGAGACUCUUCUUGUUGUUUUAAUGAGAGGCUGUAGUAGCAAGGACUCCAGGAGCUUGCCUCCUGGGAUGCCCAAGCCCUUGAUCCCUGCUAGAGGACUGCAGUCCUCCUGAAGGUGAAUGCUAUCCUCACAUGGGGCCCACUGGGCUAUGUGUGGAGGUGAGCAUGGAGAGCCUCUCAGGGAUGAGGAAGGAAGAGCCUGUUGCAAUGGGCAUGCAGAAGUGCAAGUGCCUGGCCUCUGCGGUCUUGGUCCUGGAUUCGAUUCCAUCAGAAGUGCCAAAGCUGAGCCCAAGACAGAUGGCCAUAGCAGCCAUGCUGGGAAUUGCUGGGUGCCUCCCUGUGACCUCUGAGGGCAUGGCUGUAAAAAUCUCCAAAACAGGGAGGAGCUUGGGGCUGGUCGUGAUCAUGAAGUGACACUUCUGGGCAUCUGGUCCCCAUGAUGCACUCACGGCAGAGAGAAGACACAGCCUCCCUAACCCGGCUGGGUGACCACAGCAGAUCUAUAUCAUCAGGGGCUCUGAAGGCCGAGAUCGGUCCUGCCUCAGGACUGAGACCUCUGUAGUCCUAGACCUGAGGUGUGAUCACCAGGUUUUCCCUUUAUCUCCCAAUGGUCAUGAAGUGGGUCCUGUCCUUGGGGACACACUUGUGACAUGCACACUCGCAGAGGUAGACCUCAGCCACUUAGGAGUCUAUCUUUCCUGGUAGGAUCCUGUGGUAACCUUUUAGGGCAAACCAAUUCAUUUGCAGAGUACGGUGUCUGCUGGGUGAGCCUGAGCUGGGGCGCAGCCUGGAUGUCCCAGUCCUUUAGAGGAAUGGCAGCUGCCACAAGAUGUGACCUUGGCAUUUGAGAUCACCAGGGAGUUGGUGUGAGCUCCAGAGACAACACCAGCGUUGGGCACGGUAGAUCCAGGUGCCAGACCUUGCUUUUCCUGCUCUGCAACUUCAAUGGCUCAAAUGCCCAUCGCAGGGUCUUCAAAGUGGUGUAAUGCCAUCUACCCCUCAUAUAUUGUGCCAAGAUAGAAGCACUUUCCUGUGAGAAGUAUCCUUUUAACACACACACACACACACACACACACACACACAUGCACAUGCACACGCACGAGUGCGCACAUUUUCCCAGUGAUGGGGACUAUUGAAUUCAGGGCCUCAUGCCUGCUAGGCAAAUGCUCUGCCACUGAGCUAUACUGCCAGGCCUUUUAAGGACAUUUUAUUUUGAGACAGGAUCUUCCUAAGGUGCCCAGGCUGGUUUUGAAUUUAGGAUCCACUUGCUUUAGCCUCCUGAGUAGCUGAGAUUAUAGGUAUAUGCCACUAGGCUUAACUUCCUUCUUUAUACAGUGGUACCUCAGUUCAUGAACUUAAUUCUUUCCAUGAUUCUGAUUGUAAACUGAAUUGGAUGAGAACCAAAUCAAAUUCAAUGGUUAGGUUUGAUGUCGACCUUAUGGGGAAAUUUAAUUUGGUUCUCAUGCAAUUUGGUUUGCAAUCAGAAUCAUGGAAAGAAUGGUUUGUGAACCGAGGCACCACUGUAUUCUCUUAAAAGUUAAAAUGUAAAUAAAUAAGUAUAAUUUAAUAUAGUAAUUAAAUAUGCACAUAGCAUGUCUGAGUAAGUGUUUACCAGUGUCCUUCCCUUUCAGGCCCCUGCAUUUUAACAUAGACUUGCCAGAGGAAGCUGGCUCAUGUGCAUUUUGUGAAGGAAAGUGAGCAGCAUGGGGUUGUCCACUGGAGACUCCAUAUGGCACACUGCAGUAUGCUCCUGUGUCCAAGGCUGAAACUUAGAACCAUAUCUCAGUUCUGGAUCUGGCAUCCAGGCCCAUCUUGAUCCUGGGUUUAGGAGACAGCCUAUAGCAUGCAGCUCCCUUUGAGACAUGUGACAAGCAUGUGGAUAAAGACCCAGAGUCUUCAAAGCUAAUUUCACCUCUGACAUCUGACCUCUUCAGUCAAUAUCCCUCAGUACUGGGUAUCUCAUAGGUCCCUGUUCCUCCUUCCCUGUGUCCUAUUGUCCUAGUUCAGACCCCACCUCUGUCACUCAUUGCCGGGACCACAGAACCAGUGGGAUCCUAGCCUUCAACUCUUCCUCUUCCCCACCAUUCCCACACUCACUCUAAAUGGGAAGCUGAUAGUUUGCCCCUUGCUGAAAAUUGUGCAGUGGUUUUACGUUGCUCUACAAGAUGAUUCGAUUCAGCAUCUGUCCUUCCAGGGUAUUUCAGUCUGCUUAGGUAGCAUCACACAAUACCUUGGACUAGAUGAUUUACAAUCAGUAAAAAUUUACUGUGCAUGGUUCUGAAGGUGGUGAAGUCCAGGAUCUGGCUCCUGAAAGACUGCAUGACUGGGACAGCAGAGGAAGAGGGAUAAAGUGCCUGGAUAUGUGCAUUCAUCGAGUGUCCUGAAGAUGCUCCUUCUGACUGGAAGAGCUGAAGAGACAAGACUUUUCACUAAGUGAUAUUUUUGAUGCAGUCUAAGGAUUUAUCUCAAAAUCCCAGUCACAUUACUUCCUGAGAACAAAAGGUCUGCUGAAGUUGCCUGAUGAAAAGUCCAGCCUUCCAGAAUCUUCCAUUCUACAAGUGCUACCUACAGUGACUCUGAGAGAUUGAUUAUUUAUUACGGAGAUGGGAAGAAAAGGAAACGACCAGCCCGUCACACGUCCCUGGCCCAGAUCUGCCAGUCUCUCUCUUCCCGGUCUCAGGAAACUGUGCUGACAGUCCUCGAGGUGCGGUGGGGAGCCCCUGGCAACCACUCACCUGCUUUCUGUCUGUGUGGAUUGACCUGUUCUGGAUAUUUCCUGCAAAAGGAAUGCUGAAUUUUAGUACCGGGCUUCUUUUCCUUCCUGUAAUGUUUUUGGAAUCCAUCCACAUUGUUGAGUGUAUCAGUGUAUCAGUACUUCACUUAUUGUACAGCUGAGUAAUUCCAUGGCACUUGUCCCUGGUUUUGUAAGUAAGGUUUUCCUGGACAAAGCUGUCCCCAUUACUUUACAUACUGUCUACCACUGCUUUUGCAUUUAAUGGCAGACCUGGGUAGUUGUCAAAGAGAACAUGCAGCCUGCAAAGACUUAAGUCUGUACUGUCUAGCCCUUUACUGAGAAGAAUUGCAGAUCUUUGCUAUAGUAAUAAUUUUGGGGAACUUUGUCAUGAUGCUGUGCAUGGAAAUUCUAAAGUUUCAAUAGGAUUUAUUUAUUUUUUAUCAUGAUAUAAUUUUAAGGUUCAGCUGAAGGAAGAAAGGUUACACAACUUUUGGAAAGGGAGAGUUGUUAGAGGUACCUGCCCUCCAGGAUUGUGCAGUACAGCCUGGACUGUCCUGGCUCAAGGAGGUGGAACUCAUGCAGGAGUAGACAGACCAUAGACAGGACUGGGAAGAUAGGGAAGGGACCCAUAACAGAUGUGGAAGAAAUCUGGCCAGACUGGAAGGACGCUGGACAAUUGGGAGUGACACCAGCCAUGUGGAAGAUGGGUUGCUGGAUCUGCCUCUACUCUGAAGUGAAUUCCAGAGGAAUAAAAUACUUCAGUGUGUAACAAAGGAGUUGCACAUACCAGGAGAAAAUAUUGACAUCCAUCUUACUAAUCUUGUAGGAGAAAAAUUCUUUUAAGCUUCACAGAAAAAGGCAAUGCAAAGCAAAAAAUUGAUCAAUGUGGCUUUUCAAUAAAGUGGCCUAAAAUGUAAAACUUGUCCAUGGCAAAAGCACUGUAAGUAAAACUUAUAGGAUGGAACCAGAUUAACCUGGGAAAAGUAUUGUUUUGUUAUAGAUAAAGAGUUACUGAGUCCAAUAAUAUAAUUUAUUUGUCUCUUGCAAAUGAAUGAGAAUCUGAAGAGUGCACAAUAAAUAAGGGAGAAACAUGGUACAAACCGGGACAAAGGCAACUCACCAGCAAGUGCACUAUGGUGGGUGUUCAACCUUGUAAAUAAUUGGUCUAAAUUUUAUUGAUGUAAAUUUACACAUGUCUUUUUUUGUUGUUUGUUUGAGUGACAAGGUGAAAAAAAUUGAGAAACCCCAGUGACAAUAAGGUUGUGGGAAAAGUGGCUUUUAAGACUCGGUUGCAGUAACUCUGUUUGUAGGGAAAUCUGAUUUCAGAUCAUAGUUUGAACUGCACAGGCCUUUUUUUGGUAUCGGGGAUUGAACUUGGACCUUGCACUUGGGAAGCAGAUGUGGAGCCACUGAGCUAAAUCCUUGGCCCUACACAGGCCUUUUGAUCCUGCAUCAUUGUGCCUUGGGCCUUCAUUUUUAGAAACUAAGUUUUCUUUCAGCUGUGAAAAGCUAGAAACUAUCUUGUCUCAAUGUUCAUCAGUAGAUUUGAUAAAAGAAUGUGUUGGACAUCCCUAUAAUGGGUCCCAAGGAGCCACUGAAAAUGAGGCAGAAUUUCCAACAGUCCUAUCUAUUGUAAGUGUCCUCCUUGUUCUUUACCAAUCUUGGGAUUUUGCUUGGCUUCCUCUUUAAUUGAGAAACAUUUUCCCCUGGAUUCAUUAAGGUGCAAACUUAGUGAAAAUGAUGGACAUUUGGAGAUUUUACUUAUUUAUUUUUACUAGCUAAUGAUUUUACAGGUAUUACACUUAACACUAUAGUAAUAAAGACUU
ensembl:lncRNA